rnacentral:lncRNA from 1 species
AAGGUACUUGACUAUCACUUUUAUAAGCUUCUCCUUGGUUCUGGCGUUUAUAUAAAUAAAAGAGACAAACAUGUAUGAUUUACAACUCUAGAUUAACCAACCCAACUGAUUCAACAUGUUUAGUCCUUUAAUCCUUGUUCUUAGUACUACCUCCAUGAUCCCACACUCCUAACCAUAUGAGCUAAAAUGUUACACAUUCAAUCAUUGAGAGAUAUAAAGAAAAAGACAUAUACAUAGAUAGAUUAUCUU